rnacentral:sRNA from 17 species
UCCAUCCUGACGGGUAAGUCCUGUUACGUGCCUUAGGUGUUUCCUUCCAUCGGCUGGCGAUAAGCCUAAGGAUAAGAGCGUAAUAGGGGCCGUCUAUUUU